rnacentral:snRNA from 1 species
CUGCUUGCUUCAGCAGGACAUACACUAAAAUUGGAACAAUACAGAGAAGAUCAGAGUGGCACCUGCGCAAGGAUGAAAUCCAAAUUCAUGAAGCGUUCCAUAGUAAA